rnacentral:misc_RNA from 1 species
AUCUUCUCCUUCGGGAGAAGGUUAGCGGCGGACGGGUGAGUAACACGUAGGCAACCUGCCCACAAGACCGGGAUAACAUUCGGAAACGAAUGCUAAUACCGGAUACGCGAUUUCCUCGCAUGGGGAGAUCGGGAAAGACGGAGCAAUCUGUCACUUACAGAUGGACCUGCGGCGCAUUAGCUAGUUGGUGGGGUAACGGCUCACCAAGGCGGCGAUGCGUAGCCGACCUGAGAGGGUGAUCGGCCACACUGGGACUGAGACACGGCCCAGGAUCCUACGGGAGGCAGCAGUGGG